rfam:Sphingopyxis sp. MC1 contigEBMC1_9, whole genome shotgun sequence.
GCUCUUCCAAAGUGCGGGCGGGCUUCCUAUAUGGGAAGGGCCGGUUUCGACCGGCUAUGAGGAUAAAUGGUGUCGUGGAAUAGACACAGCGGACCCGGGGGCAGUACCCGGCGGCUCCACCACAAGCCCGCGUCCUUUUCGAAGGGGUGCGCGGGCUUCUGACGGGGCCGAACCAGGAUCGACGUGUGUUCAAAGACGAUGUUUUCUUCCGGGCUGAGUAACCCGUUAAAGGCUCAAAACCAAUAGGUGCUAACGAUAACGAAGCACUCGCUCUUGCUGCCUAACCGAUAAGCCUCACGGCCUAAGGUUAGACAAAUAGAACGCGGUUCGGACCGAACCGGGCAACAGAAUCGGAUACC